GACGAACGCUGGCGGCGUGCUUAACACAUGCAAGUCGAACGAAGUGGCGAACGGGUGAGUAACGCGUAAUCAACCUGCCCUUCAGAGGGGGACAACAGUUGGAAACGACUGCUAAUACCGCAUACUGAAGGAGGGGAUUGCGUUUGAUUAGCUAGUUGGUGGGGUAAAGGCCUACCAGGGCGACGAUCCGUAACUGGUCUGAGAGGAUGAUCAGUCACACUGGAACGGAGACACGGUCCAGACUCCUACGGGAGGCAGCAGUGGGGAAUAUUGGACAAUGGGCGAAAGCCUGAUCCAGCCAUGCCGCGUGUGUGAAGAAGGUCUUCGGAUUGUAAAGCACUUUAAGUUGGGAGGCGUUACCAACAGAAUAAGCACCGGCUAACUUCGUGCCAGCAGCCGCGGUAAUUC
rnacentral:rRNA from 1 species